rnacentral:rRNA from 1 species
CAGUCGAGCGAGCUGAAUUCAAAGAUCCCUUCGGGAUGAUUUGUUGGACGCUAGCGGCGGAUGGGUGAGUAACACGUGGGCAAUCUGCCCUAAAGACUGGGAUACCACUUGGAAACAGGUGCUAAUACCGGAUAACAACAUGAAUCGCAUGAUUCAAGUUUGAAAGGCGGCGCAAGCUGUCACUUUAGGAUGAGCCCGCGGCGCAUUAGCUAGUUGGUGGGGUAAAGGCCUACCAAGGCAAUGAUGCGUAGCCGAGUUGAGAGACUGAUCGGCCACAUUGGGACUGAGACACGGCCCAAACUCCUACGGGAGGCAGCAGUAGGGAAUCUUCCACAAUGGACGCAAGUCUGAUGGAGCAACGCCGCGUGAGUGAAGAAGGUCUUCGGAUCGUAAAGCUCUGUUGUUGGUGAAGAAGGAUAGAGGCAGUAACUGGUCUUUAUUUGACGGUAAUCAACCAGAAAGUCACGGCUAACUACGUGCCAGCAGCCGCGGUAAUACGUAGGUGGCAAGCGUUGUCCGGAUUUAUUGGGCGUAAAGCGAGCGCAGGCGGAAUGAUAAGUCUGAUGUGAAAGCCCACGGCUCAACCGUGGAACUGCAUCGGAAACUGUCAUUCUUGAGUGCAGAAGAGGAGAGUGGAACUCCAUGUGUAGCGGUGGAAUGCGU